UUGUUCUCUCGUCUCAGCCUGGUACACAUCAAACCUCUUCUCGCGGUCUCAUCAUUUUUCCAAAAUUUCCUAUAAGUGGAACAUUCAGAUCUGGGAUGGUGCUAAACGGAAAAGCUGAGCUUGCUGCCCGAGUUGCUAAGGCAGCAAAAUGUCGCUAUGAGCAGUUGGAGUUGUGUGGCAUUGUCACGGUGCUGAGUCUAGCCUUGGUGCUGAGCUACCAGCUCUACCUCAGCAUGGUGGACGACUGGCAGGAGAUUCCUCAGCAACGUUGGCGCGUACUGAUGCUCUCCCUCACACUACUGCUGAUGAGUAUCGCAACCUGUCUGUACAUGUGUCGCCGCCUCCAGCCUAUCGUACGUUUACCCCCACCUCCGGUAAGUGUCAGAGGCGUAACACGGGCCAGUCUACAUAGAAAGCUUUCAAAGUUGGUUUUUUGAUUCUGCAGGCUCGUACUGCAGAGUGUAAACAACCAGCCGGCUCUCAGUCGAUGGUUAGGAGCUUGUGGAAAUGAGUAUCGUAGCAGUAUGUACCAUUGUGGAGGUUGAAACUUGCGCAGCCUCUGGAAAGUUACCCCAGUAAAGACUCUCGCGUACUCUGACUAGUGUCAACAGCCAGCUGUUCUUGAUCACUGGAGAGAGACCUCCGAGCUAUGACAGCAUCACAAAACCAGAGUUGGUCUACGUCCCUCCACCCCCCUACAAUGCUAUCUUUGACGUUUGAACAUAAGCUGUUUGGUUGGUCCUACUUCAAAUGCUACUUUCAAGAUCUAUGUAAAUAUAUUGAUCCAAGUCUGUGUCAUCCAAUGAGAAGCAAGUUUUCAGCGCAGUGACGCAGUGAAACAGUAUUAACAAUUUGCUAGUGUUGUGCAAUCUAAUGCUUCAACUUAAUAAACCAAAAACCAAACCUUCAUGACAAGGGUGUUAACGAUAUUAAUAAAUUAAAACUACCAAAGAUACUCCCAUGCUCGGUAGGAUUAUGUUUUUAAUGGUAGUAACGACUACAUCAGUCGGACUCUUGAAUACAAGCGUUUAUAUACUUUGUGUUAAACAGAGGGCAGACCUCUAAAAAGAAAGAUUUUAUCUAUCCAUUUUUUGGAGCUAUGAAAUGAUGAAAUCAAUCUAAAUUCUUCAAAUUUUCCAAGCAAAAUUUGUUGUGCAUCUCAAUGAUUUAGGAUGUUUUGAAAAAAAGUGUGUAUUUGACAAAUUGUUUUACAUAAUUUGUAGAUUUUUUAAAAUUAUUUUGUUUAUUAUGGAAGAGAAACAGAAAUACACUAUAAUAUUCAGUCAAAGAUUUACUCGCUAAUAAACCGUAAUAGUAUACAUUAGUGGAUUUUUUUUUCAUUUAGGUGCUUUGAACAAAGUGUUCUUGAAAUGUAUGGGAGAACCUUGAGUUUUAUUGUAACACAAACCCCCUAUUUUGUUUGGUGCAUCUUGUGUGUCCUCAUAAUCUAGUCUAAUGUAAAUAAUUAAAAAAAGAUUUACGUUGAAUAGCUGAUUCUAUAUUAUUGUAUUUAUAUUUGUUUCUACGUUGUAUUUUUUUAUUCUGUUUGGUCUUAUUGAUUUUUUAUUCAUAUAAGUUAUGUAUCUACUUUUUCAUUGUUGUAUAAAUAUUUUUACACUA